UCGAAGUGGUAUCCGGAAGGCGACCCCUU
rnacentral:sRNA from 1 species